UGUAAAAACCAAAUGUUCAUGAAAAUGUAAAAUACUGAAAAUCCAACUGAAGCUAAGCAGGGUUGAGCCUGGCCAGUAUCUGGAUGGGAGAACUCCUGGGAAAAACUAAGGUUGCUGUUAAAA
rnacentral:rRNA from 1 species